GAUGAACGCUGGCGGCGUGCCUAACACAUGCAAGUCGAGCGAGAAUUUCUUAAAAGAUUCUUCGGAUGAUUUUAAGAAAGGAAAGCGGCGGACGGGUGAGUAACGCGUAGGCAACCUGCCCUUUGCAGAGGGAUAGCCUCGGGAAACCGGGAUUAAAACCUCAUAAUGCCCUAGGUAGACAUCUACUCUGGGCCAAAGAUUUAUCGGCAAAGGAUGGGCCUGCGUCUGAUUAGUUAGUUGGUGGGGUAACGGCCUACCAAGGCGACGAUCAGUAGCCGACCUGAGAGGGUGAUCGGCCACAUUGGAACUGAGACACGGUCCAA
rnacentral:rRNA from 1 species